CCCAGCCAGCUCACUUCCGGUGGGCUUCACAUGCUGUGGGGUGUCACUGUUAAGGUGAGAUGAGAGAAUUGAGGUUUGGAGUUGUUAAGCAGCUUGCCCAAAGUCACCUUGCAGGUAGGUUCUGGAGUCUGGUUUUGGACUCAUGUUUCUCCACUCCAGAGUCCCAAUUUGUAAAAAUUACCAUUAUAUUAUAUUGCCUUGUAAAUUAUGGUAAGGAUUUCAGACUAUUUCUUGAGGGUAAUGGGAAACCUUUAAGGGGUUUUAGGCAGAGGACUAGUAUGACUAGAAUUUUGUUUUUAGAAGAUCCCUCUGGCUGCCAUAAGGAGAAUGGAUUGGAAGGAGCCAGAAUGCCUGAGGAAGAUAGAGCUUUUAGGAGUCUGUUGUAGUUGCACAGGUAGGAGAUGAUAAUGACUUGGAUUACAUCUGGCAGUGGAAUUAGGAGAAUAAAUUUGAGAGAUACUUAAGAAAUAGCAUAUAUGAGACUCGUAGUAUUUGGACGUGGGAAGUAAGGAUUCAAGGACAACCUCCUGCUUUCUGGCUUGGGCAAGUUGGUGAAUGGUGGACCCGUGUCUGACUCCUACAAACUGAGUAUGCUCUCAUACCCACUGCCCUGCCUUCUUUCACUGUUUGUCACAGAUAAUUUAUCAAUCUAAUUUUUCCUUACAAUAGUAUAUAUUCCAUAAGUGCAAGAACCAUGUCCCUCUUGUUCCAUGCCCAUCACAAGUGCCUGGCAUAUAACAGGGGGAAAUAAAUAAUGAAUGAAUGACAGAUAGGUGGAAACCAGAUCUUGAAAGACCUUCCUUAGCAUGUUAAGGAGCUUUGAUUUACCAGCAGUUUGUCCAGCUGCGGCCCACAGGCCACAUGUGGCUCAUGGCUUAGGAUGGCUUUGAAUGCAGCCCAACACAAAUUCGUAAACUUUAUUGAAACAUUGUGAGGUUUUUUGCGAUUUUUUUUAAAGCUCAUCAGCUAUUGUUAGUGUAUUUUAUGUGUGGCCCAAGACAAUUCUUCUUCUUCCAGUGUGGCCCAAGGAAGCCAAAAGAUUGGACACCCCUGAUUUAGCACAUAGCCUAACGCUUAAGUACUUAGCUUACCUUAAAAAAACAAACAACCAUUCUUCUUCUUCCAGCGUGGCCCAGGGAAGCCAAAAGAUUGGACACCCCUGAUUUAGCACAUUGUCUAAUGGCUAAGUACUCAGCUUACCUUAAAAAAACAAACAGCCCUCCCAGUCUAGCAGAAAGGAAAACCAAUGAUUAAUUUAUGGAAUCUGCCAGAAGCUCAGGAAUUGGAGAUAUCACGUAUCUUCAUAAGUUGGGGUAAAGGGAAGUUAAAAUGAGAGGAACUGGUUGAAAGUCUAUUUAAGAAGCAGUUAGAGCUCCCCAAAUCCUCUUCUGACCUCGUGCAGCCAAGUGAAUGCUUCUUCCCCACUCUAGAAAAAUAAUGGAGGAUUCUUCUCUACAGUGAUUAAAAUAGUAUUUGCCAGGCACAGUGGCACCAGCCUAUAGUCCCAUCUACUCGGAAAGCUGAUGUGGGAGGAUUGCUUGAGCCUAGGAGUUCAGCCAGCCUGGGCAACACAGUGGGGACUCCCCCCCACCCCCCGUCAGUGUAAAAAAAAAAAAAAUAGUAGUGUCUCUGGACUUGGGGGCACCAGACAUUAUUGAGAGUGGGUAGUGCCCUACUGAAUGGUGGAAGACUGAGUGGAAAUGCAUGCCUAUACACACCUUCCCCUACUGCUCCCAGAACAUUGGCAGCCAGGCCUUCGCCCUCCAGGAAGAUAUAGGAGAAUUUUUUAUGGGUGAAAUGACCAGUAUCAAAGAAAAGACAAUCAUCUGACAUCAGAAAUCUCUAAAUAAAUGAUUUAGCCACAUGACAUUAUAGCAGUGGUUCUCAACUGGUGCCAAUUUUCUACUUCUCCCAUCCCCUGGCACAUCUGGCAGUGUCUACAGACAGUUUUGGUGGUUGCAAUUGGGAAGAUCUUACAGGCAUCUAUUGAGUAGAAGUUGAAGAUGCUGCAAAAUACUCUAGGACAGACUCCCUUCCUACCCAAACAAAAAAUUACCUGGCCCCAAAUACCACUAUUACAGAGUUUGAGAAAUCCUGCUUUAUAAUAAAGCUCACACUUUGCAAGCCUCACUAAGGCACUCAGAACUUCCAUUCAGCUUUUAAGUCCCACUCUUAUAUAUGAGUAGACCAGCAAGGAUUACCAAGCUGAGGAGAGCCUUUAACACAAUGUAUAGAGGUCAAAACAAAUAGAGCAGCAAAAGCAGCUUGGAGGAAACUAACUGCAAGGAGAAUAAAACUUUUAAAAAGUGAACAUAUCCGCAGAGAGAUAGGAAGAGAUAUUGUAACCAUGAAAUAAUAUCAGGAUGUUAUUAUUUUCAAAGAAAGGUAUUCUUAGCAGAACAAAAGAGAGCUAUUGGAAUUUUAAAGCUAUUACCAGAAAUGAAAAACCCAGUAGAAGUGUCGGAAGAUAAAGGUGAAGAAAUCUCUCAGAAAGAAAAACAAAAAGACCAAGGAUGGAAAAUUGAGGAGAAACUAAAACUAGAGGACUAGUUCAAAAAGCCCUCUAUCACACACACUGUUAUAUCAUGCACACUAAUACAAUAAUUUCAGAAAGAGUAUAGAGAAAAAUCUGUCCUUUAAAGUCCUUCAAGAUUUGGUCUCUUCCUAUUAUUCGUUCAUUCAGAGUUUAUUGAGUCCUACUAUGUACUUGGUACUAUUCUGAGUGCUAAACAAAAAAGGUAUGGUUUGUGCCUUUGAGAACUUACAGUUGAGUGAGGGAAAACCAGAUAUUGAGUUAAUAGUACACUUGUGGGCCAAGUGCAGUGGCUCAUACUUGUAAUCCCAGCACUUUGGGGGACCAAGGCGGCAGAGUCACUGAGCUGGGGAGAUUGAGACCAGCCUGGGUAAUAUAGGGAGACCCCAUCUCUACAAAAAAAAAAAAAAAUAGACCAAAUUAGCCAGGUGUGGCACACGCCAAUAGCCCCAGAGGUUGACGCUGCAGUGAGCAGCCAUCAUGCCACUGCACUCCAGCCUGGGUGACGGAGUGAAACAUUGUCUCAAAAAUAAAGAAAAAAAAAAUAGUAUACUUGUGACUGUUCAAGAAGGCAGCACAGCUGAGGAAAUUAUUAAAUAAUUCAAGAAAAUUUAUCAUAAUUGAAAGACACUGCUGGGUUGAAAAUGGUUCACCAAAUGCUCAUUACAAUUAAUCAAAAUAGACUCACACUAAGGCACAUUCCAAAAUAACAGAACCAUGAUGGCAAAGAAGUUUCCAGAGAGUAAAAGAGGUCACACACACAAAAACAAGAAUCAAAAUGGCAUCAGACUUCUCAAUGGUAACACUAGCUAGAAGGCAGUUGAGAAAUGCCUUUGAAUUUCUGAAUACAAAUUAUUUCCAGCUACAAUUCUAUUCCCAGCCAACUUAUAGAUCAACUAUGAAGGGAGAAUAAUAGCAUUUUUAGACAAAAAAAAAACUAUUAAAAAACAAAAUACCUCCUAUUUCUUAGGCAGUUAGUUACUAGAGGAUGUUUGCCACCAAGAUGGAGCCAAUGCUGAAAGAGGAAGACAUUAGGAGCUCCAACACAGAUGGCAGGAAUCCUCAGGAUGACUUGGAGAGCAACCAGUCCAGACUGUAGCAAGUCAGGUUCUGGGGAAGGCUACUUCAUAAGGAUGAGCAAUUUGAGAGAGACUUAGACAAUCAGCAACAAGGUUGGGGUUGAAUUGGUAAUAAAUACAUGAAAACUAAGCCAGUGGGACAAUUAAUAUUAGAUGAGAAAGGAAAAGUGUUGAAAUGUUACUACAUGGCUCAAUUGUGCAGUUUCCACAUCAUCCCAAUAAUGUGAAUUGAAUAUUGAGCUAGACAAAAUUAUGGCAUAACUAUACUGGAAAGAUGGGGGAAUGAAAAGAAUAUUUAUGUGCAUAGAAAAGAGCUAAGCCCUCAUCCUCCAUGGUGGGGAGUCAGUGGGUAAUGCUGAAACAAAAUUCACCAAGCAGCGUAUCAUUUAUCUGGAGACAAGGGGGUAAAUUUAAAAAAAAAAAAAGGCUAAAAGAGGUGCCUGCAAGCACUCUGAGAGUAGUAUCUGCUUUUCUUAUCUUUUUUAAAAAUAACAAUUGUAGAAUUGUUUGAUUGUUAGUAUGUGCUUAUAUGUAUAACUUUAAUAAAAAUGAAAACAAACAAUAACAAAAAGCCUUUGUACUUAUUAAAAUUACUAAUGUCGUUUGACCCAGCAAUGCUACUUCUAGGAAUUUAUCUUAUAAAUGAUUUGGCAAAAUAAUGGAAUACAAGGUAAUUCAUUACAACACUAUCUAUAAUAAUGAUUGGAAACAAACCAGGGUUUGGGUAAAUAAAUUGUUGCUUUUAUACAAAGGAAUACUAUUCCGCUAUGAACUGGGAACAAAAAAGCCCUUUAUGUACUGAAAAGAAAGACCUCAAAGAUAAAUUACAUGUGGAAUGUUCAUCCUUGGAGUUGAAAAAACAAAAUUACAUGAAAAAUGCACAAUUCAGAACACUGUAUGUAUGCUACAAUUUGGGUUUUAAAAAAAAGAGGGCUAGAAUAUAUAAAUACACAUAAUUUGUACAAAAUAUUCCUGGAAAAAUACAUUUGAAAAACCAAAUAAUAUUGGUUGCAUGUGGGAAGAUGUAUUGGGUGGCUAGGAAAUGGGUAGAGGAAGACUUUUACCCUAAACCCGUUUUAUGCAUUCUGAAAAUGUAGAAGGGUUACUUAUUUAAAAAACUAAGUAAUGCUGGCUAAUAUGGUGAAACCCUGUCUCUACUAAAAAUACAAAAAAUUAGCCAGGCGUAGUGGCACGCGCCUGUAGUCCCAGCUACUUGGGAGGCUGAGGCAGGAGAAUCGCUUGAACUCGGGAGGUGGAGGUUGCAGUGAGCCAAGAUCGCGCCACUAUAGCCUGGUGACAGACUCUGUCUCAAAAAACAAAACACACAUACAAAAAACCCUAAGUAAUGCUAAUUGUUUCGGGAAGUCAGGGACCCCAAACGGAGGGACCGGCUGAAGCCAUGGCAGAAGAAUGUGGAUUGUGAAGAUUUUAUGGACAUUUAUUAGUUCCCCAAAUUAAUACUUUUAUAAUUUCUUAUGCCUGUCUUUACUGCAAUCUCUAAACAUAAACUGUAAAGAUUUCAUGGACACUUAUCACUUCCCCAGUCAAUACCCUUGUGAUUUCCUAUGCCUGUCUUUACUUUAAUCUCUUAAUCCUGUCAGCUGAGGAGGAUGUAUGUCACCUCAGGACCCUGUAAUAAUUGCAUUAACUGCACAAAUUGUACAGCAUGUGUGUUUGAGCAAUAUGAGAUGUGGGCACCUUGAAAAAAUAACAGGAUAACAGCAAUUGUUCAGGGAAUAAGAGAGAUAACCUUAAACUCUGACCGCUGGUGAGCUGGGCGGAACAGAGCCAUAUUUCUCUUCUUUCAAAAGCAAAUGGGAGAAAUAUCGCUGAAUUCUUUUUCUCAGCAUGGAACAUCCCUGAGAAAGAGAAUGUGUGCCUGCGGGUAGGUCUCUGAACUGACCCCCCUGGGCUUAGCCGUCUCUUAUGGUCGAGGCUGCAGAGAUGAAAUAAACUCCAGUCUCCCAUAGCACUCCCAGGCUUAUUAGGAAGAGGAAAUUCCCGCCUAAUAAAUUUUGGUCAGACUGGUUGAUCUCAAAACCCUGUCUCCUGAUAAGAUGUUAUUAAUGACAAUGGUGCCUGAAACUUCAUUAGCAAUUUUAAUUUUGCUUCGGUCCUGUGGUCCUGUGACCUCGCCCUGCCUCCACUUACCUUGUGAUAUUCUAUUACCCUGUUAAGUACUUGAUGUCUGUCACCCACACCUAUUCGCACACUCCCUCCCCUUUUGAAACUCCCUAAUAAAAACUUGCUGGUUUUUGUGGCUUGUGGGGCAUCACGGAUCCUACCAAUGUGUUAUGUCUCCCCCCGACGCCCAGCUUUAAAAUUUCUCUCUUUUUGUACUCUGUCCCUUUAUUUCUCAAGCCGGCCGACGCUUACGAAAAAUAGAAAAGAACCUACGUGAUUAUCGGGGCAGGUUCCCCGAUAUCUGGCGCCCACGUGGUCUUUCUUUUGCAGGAUUCCUAGUGACAGUGCAGAUGUGCAGGUGAGGACAGCAGGAAUGAAGACUGAUGGGUGAUUGCUUAAUUGAUUGUAUAUGGAGGGGAGGGAAAGGAGGAGUCUAGCAUGAGUCCCUGAUUUCUGGCUAUACAGUGAGAUAUGAUUGUGAUGCUAUUUUCUAGUAAUGGGAAUUUGGGAAGAAAAGAAAAAUGAGUUCCUUUACUUACUGCAUUUGAGGCAUCCUGGCUAAGGAUAUCCAGCAGGUGUCUGGAUAUGUGAGGCUGAAGCUGAACAGUAAAUCCCAUUUACUUCGCCGACUUCAAUUACAACCCAAACACAAACCAACCUGUAUUGUGGAAAGAAAGACCUCAAAGAUAAAUUACAUGUGGAAUGUUCAUCCUUGGAGUUGAAAAAAAAAUUACAUGAAAAAUGCACAAUUCAGAACACAACCCAACCUGUGUUUAGGUUGUAAUUGAAGUCUGGGAGGUAAAUGGGAUUGUCAGGGAGAGAGUAUCAAGUGAGAAGAGGUUGUAGCUGAGCACUAGUAGUAAGAAGAGAGCAGAGAGCCCUCAAGGGAGCCUGAGAUACAGGGGCCAAAUCCAGCCCACUGCUGAUUUUUGUAAAAUACUCUUUUGUUGGAACAUAGAGACAUCAUUUAUGUGUUGUCUUUAGCUGCUUUCAUGCUGUUAAGAACAGAAUUGAAUAGUUGUGACAGGGCACCUGGCUUGCAAAGCAAAACGAUUUUCUGUAUGGCCCUUUGGAGAAGUUUUUCAAACCCCACCUAGACUACUGCAGCAGCUCCCAUAGCAUAAUGAGCAAGACUGUCUAUGACCUUGGCAGUUCAUUCUUGGUUGCCUGCAGAAUAAGUUAGCUGUGGCUGGGGUUUCCUCCUUCUAGGGAAAAGGCUGCACCCAAGCUCAGGUUCCCAUGGGACUGGUGCCUUCUUCAUCACAGGAGUGGAGAUUUUUAACAUUCCAUGGACAGCUGGCAUUUCCAGACAACUCCUGUAAAUCAUUGGCACUCCAAAUCCAAACCACCUGUUGCUCAGCACCUUGUGUAUUCUCCCGUUGACGAGACUGCUUCUUCAAGCUUGCCCUAUUAAAGGGGAGACUAGUAGGAUGUGCUCUUCUGAAACCAAACAGCGUUGUGGGCCUUGGCUCACCUCUCCAUGGGAUAACAUGAGGAUGGUACCUUCUUUUUUCCCGGCCCUGUAAAUUUGUAUUUCCUCCAGUGAAGCUCAUUCCUUAACCCAUGCUAUGUAGCUUUGUGGAUUCACCCUGAAGGGUGGUGUAUGACAGCUGAUGACCCAGAAGACCCAUCUUGCAUGCCAAUGGAGACCUAGCACAACAGCUCCUAAUUGAUCUCUCUGCAUCCAUGUUGAUUCUCUUCAAUUGUAGUCUUCAUCUUGCAGCUAGAAUGGGUCUUUCUAAACAGACUUGCCCACCUUCCUCCCACAACCCAAUUGAAAACACAAUAGCUCCCCAUUGGUCUUAAGACAUACCAAAAUACCCAAAUCUUUAAUAUGGUUUAAUGAGACUCAAGAUGAUCUGGCCUCUGCCUUUUUCUCCAGCCUUAUUUCCCACCGUUCAUCCCUCUCUGGACUGCAGCCAAAUAUUUUCUCAGUCACUUGUAGUAAACACGUUUCCUCCUGCCCUUGACCAUGUCCUGUUCCUUUUGUCUGAAAUACCUUGCUUUGCUUAAUUAACUCCAGCUCCUAGUCAUGUUCCCAAAACAAUGAACUCAGUUGAAAUUUUACAUUUAUCUGUAUGAUUAUUUGGUUACUGUUUUCCACACUAGACCAUAAGAUCCAUAGAUCUCUUUUAAACCAGUAGCCUAGUUUAUAUUCAAAGUGCCUAGCAUAAAGUGAGUGCUUAAUGAAAUUAGUUGAACACAUUUUUAGGUAUAAUGUAGAAAGAAGCCAGGAUCCAAAUACCACAUACUGUAUGAUUAUAUAAAAUGUCUCGAGAAGGCAAAUCUAUAAAGACCGACAGAUGAUUAGUGGUUUGCCAGGGGCUAGGGUUGGCAACGCUGAGUGGCUAUAAACUGGCAUGAGGAAUUUUAUUGAGGUUAUGGAAAUGUUCUAAAACUGCACAACUCAGUAAAUUUACUAAAAAUCAUUGUACAUUUAAAAUGGGUGACUUUUAUGGUAUGUAAAUUAUACCUCAAUAAAGGUGUUUAAAAACUUGACUAAAUGAAAAAAUAUAGUUAUUGGAAAUGAGAUCUUUAUCUUGUGCUGAAUGUGUAUACAUCUUUUUAUACUUUGUAUUCUAUACCACUCAUCCUAUACUAUUUUCUUAUUGCUAAUGGAUAUAUGUUUUAACAUACCUUAUUGUUUUAAAUUUUUUUUUCUGGAUUUUUCUUACUCCCUGAUUUGAAAUAACUAGGCUUGGCAUGUUACAAAGUUCCAGGUGUCUCUAACUACCUUGAGUAAGAAGAAAUAGGUACAAGGAGCUUCCCUGUGACAUAAACCAGCUGCAGAGUUAGGAUUCCUAGGAAGUAUGUAUCUUAGGGAUCAAGUGUCCUUGAUACAUGACAUUUGUAACACUGAGCCAGAUAUUUUAAGACUGAUCUAGAUUUGCUGAUUUCAAAAAUAAGUUGCAAUAUUGGGAUGAGAAAGGUUUUAAAGGUAAUCUGAAUUUUAGAACUAAUAACUUUAGUACCCUAGAUAGUACCAUAGAUAAAUAUCCCUAGAAACAAAAGCCUCAGCACUUUGGGAGGCUGAGGUGGGCAGACUGCUUGAGCCCAGGAGUUCAAGACCAGCCUGGGCAACAUGGCAAAACCUUGUCUCAACAAAAUAUACAAAAAUUAUCCAGGUGUGGUGGUGCACACCUGUAGUCCCAGCCACUAGGGAGGCUGAGGUAGGAUAAUAACUUGAGUCCAAGAGGUCGAGACUGCAGUGAGCCGUGAUUGCACGACUGCACUCCAGCCUGGGCGACAGAGCAAGACUCUCUCAAAAAAAGAAAAAACAAAAAACAAAAAAAACCAGUGCCUCUCCAAUAGCUCUUGGAUCCUACUGAGCCCUUUUGGGUGGACUUAUCUGCAUUUUGGUUGGGUUUACCUGGAAGCAGACCUAAGAUAAGGAUGUUAGGACAGGUGGAUGAUUUGGGAAGCAGCAUUGAAGGGCUGGGCGAUUAAGACAGGGAAUAAAGAAACACUGAUAGAAAGUAGUUACCACUGUGGGCAACCCUAAUUGAGGACCCAUGUGGAAUAAGCCUGAGAACUGGUCCUCUGAGGAUUGAAACAUCUAUCAGCUGACUGACUCCUGCCCCAUUUAGUUGAGGGUUGCCUUGGGUUAUUAACUCCCUGAUACUCCUAUGGUGCUUUGAGGGCUCUUGAGAAAGACUUAAGACAGAAAAGCAGAAUGUGGGACUGCUUGGAGUGAAACUUGUCAGGCUGAUUGUAACUGUCCACUACAGCGAAGCUGAAAUCAGACAUGGCCCAAGUGUGUGACUCAGGGCUGCAUCUGUCAAGGAACAUCUUUCCAGGGAAACUCCAUAAACAACAGGACAUCCAAUGACAUAUGACUUCUAGAGCAAUUUUAUAUAAAGUGGUUUUUUAUUAAUGAAA